rnacentral:rRNA from 1 species
GCGUAUAUUAAAGUUGUUGCAGUUAAAAAGCUCGUAGUUGAAUUUCGGGUUUCCGGCGCUCCCGCUUCAUUGCGGGGACACGGGGACCCUCCUCGCCUUAGGGCGUCAUUUACUGUGAAAAAAUUAGAGUGUUCAAAGCAGGCAAUCGCUUGAAUACAUUAGCAUGGAAUAAUAAGAUAGGAUUACGUCUAUUUUGUUGGUUGCGGACGAUAAUAAUGAUUAAUAGGGAUAGUUGGGGGUGUCCGUAUUGAGCUGUCAGAGGUGAAAUUCUUGGAUUUGCUCAAGACGAACUACUGCGAAAGCAUUCACCAAGGAUGUUUUCAUUAAUCAAGAACGAAAGUCAGGGGAUCGAAGAGGAUUAGAUACCCUCGUAGUCUUGACCAUAAACUAUGCCGACUCGGGAUUGGCAGACGUUGUAUCGACUCUGUCAGCACCGUAUGAUAAAUCAAAGUCUUUGGGUUCCGGGGGGAGUAUGGUCGCAAGGCUGAAACUUAAAGGAAUUGACGGAAGGGCACCACCAGGAGUGGAGCCUGCGGCUUAAUUUGAC